rnacentral:hammerhead_ribozyme from 1 species
ACUCAACUGACGAGUCCUAAAUAGGACGAAACUCUCUUCCUGGAU